rfam:Camelus ferus unplaced genomic scaffold scaffold1009, whole genome shotgun sequence.
GGAGGGUACAGCUCAGUGGUACAGUGUGUACUUAGCAUGCACAAGGUCCUGGGUUCAAUCCCCAGAAACUCCA